GACUUUGCUGAAGGAGCAGGUGACGUCAUUUCAGAUCAAGGACGAACCAGUGUGUGUGUGUGACGUUCAUUUUAAUCUCUGGGAGAUUGCUCUGGAUCCAGGGUGCCAUCAGCCGUCAUGCCACUACUCACGAGUGUGGUCAGCCAACCCCCCUCACCUCCAUAUUUUGCUGCCUACUUCCCCAGAAGCCGAUGCGUACGCUCCCCCGGCCCCACCCCCUUUUGUACUUAUUUAUUGACUAGGCUGCGGUGUCGUUUAUGCGAGUACGAUGUACAGUAAGUUAAUCCAAGUGUUGACUCUAGCCUCAGACCCUAGGAUCGCUUCCCCUCCUGUCUCCAGCCCCCCCACAUCCUCUUAAGGAGGAAGAGCAAUCCAGUUUGGGUCCCCCAUUUCCGGUUCCUGUUAAGGGACACACCUGGAGCUGUAGAAUCAGGAAAGCUGGAUGCCUCUCGGCUCAAAGAUGUUUUAUUGCUAGAAGGAUUUUAAUAUGUUUUGCAAAUGCAUCAUGCAAUGAAUUUUGCAUGUUUAUAAUAAAUCUUAAUAACAGUGAAUCUAUAUUAUUGAUAUAAUCGUAUCAAGCAUAAAGAGUAUUAUAAUAAUUUUAUAAGACACACCUGUGCUAUAUUUGUGAAGGCUCUCGUUUCUGAUCUGCUUCGAUGAUUACGUUUUAGCUUCCUUCUUUGCGGCCCUGCUUCCUCUCUCCCCUCCCCCACUCUGUGCCUACCCUGCAUUGGCGCUGUUAUCAGACAUAUUAAUUUUUAUUUUUUAUUACAGUAGAUCUAAUUUUGAAAAUGAAUGGCUUCUUUACAUGAUUAAUUAGGCUUAUACAUAUAUUAUAUAUUUGAUUCUACCUGCAAACAAAAGUUUUGUUGGGAGGGAAUUUUUUUUUUUUUUCUUUUGGCUGUGCCUGCGGUAUGCAGAAGUUCCCAAGCCAGGGAUCGAACCCAGGCUACUGCAGUGACAACACAAGUCCUCAACCGCUAGGCCACCAGGGAACUCCUGGGGGGAUUAUUUUUGAGGUGAGACUCCCUCUUCAUUUCUGAGUGCCAUCGUCUCUUCUGGUCCCUACAUCAUCUUCCUCCUGGCGACAGCAGGAGGGCUUUGGCUCCAGUGUGCCUCGUAUGUUUGUGCGGGUGUGGUGUCAUCAUGGCCCCCAGGAGGGACUUGCUUCGUUUCAUUCUUCCGCCCGGCCUUGUCACUGUUCGUGACUUGGGGUGGGAGGGGUGGGCAGGUGCUCUGCCCGAUUGAGAAGCGUGCUGUGCACCUCGGUGUGUGCGGCACAAGCUGCCCCCUGCUUCAGCACGUGCAGACCUCAGGAGGCAAACCGCCCAGCAGCCCCUGGGCACAGCUGGCCCCUGGCGCUCUCAGCGGGCGCUCUUCAGAGGCUGCAGAUUUUCUUCCAGUUGUUGCUAGACCAGCCUUUGCUGUCAUUUAAGGGCCCUUCUGUGAUGACAGCCAUCCCAAACACAAGGUCCUGGGAGGAGCCAGCCCAGAGCAGGAAGGACAGUGGUGGUGGACGUGGCUGUCUCUCCUUACCGGGGACUGCUGUGUUGCCGCUUGUUCCCCCAAAAGCGUCUCCCAGCGAAGCCUCUUCUCAUUUUUACCCUCUGGCUCUUCGCCUGAAUCUCAGCUACCGCACAGCCACCGAGGGGUCUUAGAGAUGAGAUGGAAACCCUUGACUGGAGGAAGAGGUGGGGUCAGACCAGAAAAGAGCAACUCCUCAUGCCCUCUUUUACGGCUCCAGGACUCAAAAGGGGCCCCGGCAUAUCCAAAGCUGCAACCCUGCUGGUCGGCGCCCUCUAGGGACCCUUCCUCCCCAGGUCCCCCGCAUUCGGUCUGAGAGGAAAGGGACCCAAGUUUAGAAAGAGCCGGCCACCCUGCCCCAGAAUCCAGUAGCACGAGGCCAGAUCCCCAGCCAAGCCCUGGAGGCAAGGAAGGCUCCAGAAAGGCGCUCAUGGGGUUGUCAGCCCGCCGUUCGCUCCCAGGCCCCCAGCAGGUCACACUUUGCUCACACAGCCAACGCGUUUCCAAACUAUUUAUUCAUCUUUCUCUAGGAGACCUAUUCAGCAUCUCGGCUGGGUUGGAUCCUUUCCGAAUGUGUGGCAAAGUUUUAGAGAAAAAUACCCUGUCUGGGGGCAGCCAGGACUCUGCGUCAGGGACAGCAGGCUUGAGGGCAAACAGUUCAACAGAAAACAAUCAGGACCAGAAAAGUGUUAGAGUGAUGUGGCAUGUUUGGUACAUUGCUGUCCUGAACUGAGAUAAAAGCUGAUGCUUUUUUAAAGCAAAGGCUGAGCAGCCCAAGAGGGUCCUGAUGAAAGAACCCACAUCGUGUGGGUGGACCAUUAGCAGAAUCGGUUUAUCCAGUUCUGUGGCAUUGUCCCCCUACGUGGGCAUCGUGUGCAAUACCACAGCAGGAAAGGGGCUGCUGCUUUAACCUUUAAAGGGGUUAGAAUGAGGAGGACGCCUUGAUGGGUCAGGUCAGCGAGGGAAGUGCCAGCCCCUGAGCACUGCCUAUGUCGCCAGGGCCCGUGGCGAUCCAGCCCCCUGGGAUCACGUAGCACUAUCUGGGGCGCUGUGACUCUGGAAGGCCAUUCAGGUUACCUUGCAAAAUUGCCCCUCGGAAGGUGGUUCUGCUCAAAGAUGAGACGUCUGCAGGCCGGGGGCUGGCAGCCCUUCUCUUGCCAUUUUGUUUAAGCCCACUAGGUGCCCAGUUUGAAGGAAAGUAGCUGGAAUGUGCGCCCUGUGCUGCCCUCGGAGGUUAAUGGGAGGUUCACCCCAGGCAAGAACGAAUAUCCAGGUCAGUAGGCGCCCCUGGAGGCCGAGGUUGGCAAGGAAUUUAGAAAAGAGCGGGGUGUGGGCCCCGAAGGACCCUGGCAGUAGGAGGAAGCCGGGAAGGAGAGGGCGUUUGGGAAGGAAGCCGCUGUUUCCAGUGGCUUUUCCAUCUGGAAAGUUGUUCACGCGGGUAAAAGUCACUGUCCAAUGGUCCUUGAGGGCAAGUUCAUUAUUCCUCCUGCGGAAACAUCUCCCAGAGGCCAGCAGCCUCCUCCCCAGCUCCCAGAAACCCCUUUCCUCACUCUCCCUGGAUGUGGCUCUGAAUCCCCUGCGAAGGGCUGAACCAUCCAGCAAGUGGGUCCCCUGUGGCUUCUGGCCGAGAAUCACAGCUGCUGGGGGGAUGGAGACCAGGACGGCGCAAACACAACUGCCACCGCCGUCCCCUCUGAUUUUGAAUGGGUUUUUUGUUUGUUUUUUGGUUUUUUGGUUUUGCUGGGUUGGUUUUCUCAGUACUGAAGAGGAGGGUAGAGUGAGAGUCUUAUGUGUGUAAAAGCCUCAGAAAGGAAACACCGUCUGACGGUCCUGGCCUCACUUUGGUCUUAUGAAGUCACCUGUUUUCUUGUGUGUGCCCAUCACACCAUUUCCUGUUUCUUUAAGCCCAGCAAGGGCCAGAGUGCCUGUUCCCCCACUGAGCCCGGUAAACCAUCGUGAUCAUAAAGCCACUGCUGAGGCAAAGGACCCAAAGAUUAGGGACAGUCACAGUGAAGGGAAGGUGCACCCUGGUCCCUAGUGACCAUGCACCAAUCAACGAGGAUGUCAGGUUACGUGUUACGAAAUAUACCAGACCAUGAUGGCAUCUCCCAUCAUUUCCUGUUCAGGCAGGUGCAGCAAAUCCUGGGAAUGCUGUAUAUGUCUGCUCUUUGAAGAUACAGAAAAUUGGGAAAGGUGGCCCGUAUUAGACAUGGAUGGAGGCAGCCUUCUAGAAAGGGUGUCAACCACAGUUGUGUUAAUUCUCUGAUGUCAGGGGCUCUUUGGGAGGGUUAAAAGCUGCAUGACUAGGAUCCCGGUGCCUCUGAUCUGUGCGAUCAGGUGUCAGUUAAUAACCAUGUAGGCCCAACUUCAUCAUCAGACAGCCUUACAAUGACCCACACUGAGGCCCAUGAGUUCCAAAGACUUUUUUAAAAACUUAUGGAGGAAAUUAAUUUGUUAAUUCCAAUAGAUCAUCUGACUAUACUGGGCUAUUUGUACUUUUUUAAUAGAGAAAUUUAAUAACUUAAUUCUUUUAAAAUGAGUUUUUAAAAUAAAACUACUGACAAUUUCAUAAAAGUCCAGUCACAUGGGGGCUAUAGGAGGACUCAACUGGGGUCAGCUGGAGCACCCCUGACCUGCACUCC
rnacentral:lncRNA from 1 species